rnacentral:rRNA from 1 species
UAGUGGCGAACGGGUGAGUAACACGUGGGCAAUCUGCCCUUCACUCUGGGACAAGCCCUGGAAACGGGGUCUAAUACCGGAUAAUACCUGCCUGGGCAUCUGGGUGGGUUGAAAGCUCCGGCGGUGAAGGAUGAGCCCGCGGCCUAUCAGCUUGUUGGUGAGGUAGUGGCUCACCAAGGCGACGACGGGUAGCCGGCCUGAGAGGGCGACCGGCCACACUGGGACUGAGACACGGCCCAGACUCCUACGGGAGGCAGCAGUGGGGAAUAUUGCACAAUGGGCGAAAGCCUGAUGCAGCGACGCCGCGUGAGGGAUGACGGCCUUCGGGUUGUAAACCUCUUUCAGCAGGGAAGAAGCGAGAGUGACGGUACCUGCAGAAGAAGCGCCGGCUAACUACGUGCCAGCAGCCGNGGUAAUACGUAGGGCGCAAGCGUUGUCCGGAAUUAUUGGGCGUAAAGAGCUCGUAGGCGGCUUGUCACGUCGGGUGUGAAAGCCCGGGCCUUAACCCCGGGUCUGCAUUCGAUACGGGCUAGCUAGAGUGUGGUAGGGGAGAUCGGAAUUCCU